UACGUAGGGGGCUAGCGUUGUCCGGAAUCAUUGGGCGUAAAGAGCGUGUAGGCGGUCCGGUAAGUCCGCUGUGAAAACUCGAGGCUCAACUUCGAGCUGUCGGUGGAAACUUUCUGGCUAGAGUCCGGAAGAGGAGAAUGGAAUUCCUGGUGUAGCGGUGAAAUGCGCAGAUAUCAGGAAGAACACCCGUGGCGAAGGCGGUUCUCUGGGACGGUACUGACGCUGAGACGCGAAAGCGUGGGGAGCGAACAGG
rnacentral:rRNA from 1 species